AUGUUGCUUCUAUUCACUAAAUCUGUGUUGUUUCUGCUCAUGUAUGACAAAUGAUGCUUAGUUCUUUCCUUAGGUGAAUUGGUCCAAGCUACUACCAAGGUAAAUACAAAAUGGAAAGGACUGCUAAAGUAUUACCUAUUAGACAUCGAUGAAGAGUUAGAAGUAAUAAUGAAAUCUGAAGAUAUGUGUUUGGAGUCUGCUAAGAAGUUCUCCCGUGUUUGAUAAGGUCAAGAAGCUGCAAAGGGACUGUCUAAGGAACCCUGUGAAUCACUGACGAAGCUUACAAGAGUAUCACUUCUAGUAGUGUAUAGUUUCUUAUAGAUGUAUUUUGAACUUGUAAAUUUAUUGUAUAAUACAUUUAAAAUACAAUACAAGAUCAUAUAUGCACCAAUUAUUUGGUGCAUUUUUUUUUAAUAUAGCCUACCAAUUUUGCCA